rnacentral:rRNA from 1 species
AACGAACGCUGGCGGCAGGCCUAACACAUGCAAGUCGAGCGAAGCCUUCGGGCUUAGCGGCGGACGGGUGAGUAACGCGUGGGAACGUGCCCUUUGGUACGGAAUAGCCCCGGGAAACUGGGAGUAAUACCGUAUGUGGUCGAGAGACGAAAGAUUUAUCGCCAAGGGAUCGGCCCGCGUUGGAUUAGGUAGUUGGUGGGGUAAUGGCCUACCAAGCCGACGAUCCAUAGCUGGUUUGAGAGGAUGAUCAGCCACACUGGGACUGAGACACGGCCCAGACUCCUACGGGAGGCAGCAGUGGGGAAUCUUAGACAAUGGGCGCAAGCCUGAUCUAGCCAUGCCGCGUGAGCGAUGAAGGCCUUAGGGUUGUAAAGCUCUUUCAGCUGGGAAGAUAAUGACUGUACCAGCAGAAGAAGCCCCGGCUAACUCCGUGCCAGCAGCCGCGGUAACAC